rfam:Oryza sativa Japonica Group DNA, chromosome 10, cultivar: Nipponbare, complete sequence.
AAAAAGACAAACCAUGGGUUUCCGUGCCAAUAUUUGACUGUCCGUCUUAUAUGAAAUUUUUUUAUAAUUAGUAUUUUUAUUGUUGUUAGAUGAUAAAACAUGAUUAAUACUUUAUGUGUGACUUAACUUUUUAAUUUUUUUUCAUAAUUUUUUUAAAUAAGUAUUUGUCUUAUUUUGAGAGGGAGUACCUGCUCUAAGC